UCCGGUUUGUCACCGGCAGUCUCCUUAGAGUUCCCACCAUUACGUGCUGGCAACUAAGGACAAGGGUUGCGCUCGUUGCGGGACUUAACCCAACAUCUCACGACACGAGCUGACGACAGCCAUGCAGCACCUGUGUUGCGGUUCCCUUUCGGGCACCGAGACAUCUCUGCCCCGUUCCGCACAUGUCAAGGGUAGGUAAGGUUUUUCGCGUUGCAUCGAAUUAAUCCACAUAAUCCACCGCUUGUGCGGGUCCCCGUCAAUUCCUUUGAGUUUUAACCUUGCGGCCGUACUCCCCAGGCGGUCAACUUCACGCGUUAGCUUCGUUACUAAUGGGUUUAACCCCACCAACAACCAGUUGACAUCGUUUACAGCGUGGACUAC
rnacentral:misc_RNA from 1 species